ACUGGACAUUUCCUCACGCUUCUUCUUUGCGCGUUUGUGUGUUCCGAGCUUUCUCUUUGCAACCUUCAGUGCCCUCUUAUCCUUCCCAACCUUCAGCAACUCAGUUAUACGCUUUUCAUAGGGUGCAAAACCGGCUACCUCUCUUAUGAGGUUCCUCACAAAGUGCACCCUCUUGCUUGUUUUCUGUUUUGAAUCCAUAUAAUUGUAGGACCACAUAUAGACCACAUAAUUUAAAACACUUUCAAGAAAAAUCAAUCAAAUACACUUCCAACACCAUAAUCUGCCUGAUAUGUCUAUAGAAUGAAUGCAUUAAUAAAAGGGAGAGUGAAUGCAUUCACUUUCAAGCCUUAUUAAGAGCGAAUGAAUUAAUAAAAGGGAAAAUAGAUCACCAAAGAUUGAGAUCAGUUCGGAAAAUAAAUUGACGCAAAUAUGGGUUCAAAAUCUUACUUCUCCCCACAAAGAACACCUAUAGUAAGAACUAAAAGUAACAAUUUUCAAAGUUUGGCUUCUAUGUUUGCAAUCUUUUCUAAUGUCUAGGAAAAGUAAUUGUCAUAAAAAAUAGGAGUUACCCUCGUAUAAGAAAACUACUAAAAUUGAUCAGAAACCCAACAGAAACAAUAGUAGGAACAGAAAAUUGCAAAACACAAACAGACUCUUUGUUAUUCAGAACUUAGAAAGACGCCCACUUAUUCUAAAAAGACAGCCACUGCAUUUUAUGACACUUUGAUUCCAACACCACCACUUACAAUCUAAAAAAGGUUCAAAUAUGAGAAUAAAAAAACUGAAUCACAUUUGAAAAAGAAACAUUGAAAAAACUUACCCCCUUACGAUCUGAGGGGCGUGGAGGCAAUUCCUUCUUGGUGACGACGUGACCCUUGUUCAGUCCAACAAACAGACCCGUACUAGGCGGUUUGGGAGCCAUUUCCCUGUCCCAAAAACAAACACGCUUCAGAAUUGUUUCGCUUAUGGCUCAUGCAAUCACAAGUUAAUGUUGAACAGUGAUUUUCAAUUUCGCAUUAAACCGAGCAAGGAUCAGAAGCAGCCAUUAUUACCUCUAGGUGGAGAAACCCUACGAGCAGAGUGUAUGCGGAGAGGGAGAAAAGAGCAACUAGGGUUUUUGUAGAGGCUGUUUCCCUUUUUAUUUGAGACUCAAGUCGGGUCGCUGAUCCAACUUCAAUUGGGCCGAACUACAAGUAGAAUUGUCAAAAAAACAAUCACAGAAAAAAAAAUGCACGAUUAUAUCAAUCUAUAAUAAUACGUCCAAAAAUAAUUUUUAAUAGGAAUGUUUAUACAUGUCAUCCUCAAGAGUUCUAAACAAUAAAUUUAUUUUAUUUUAAAAAAAAUCAUUUUAAAUUAUAUAAUAGUUGUAAUGUCAUUAUAAUAAUUGAUUAGAAUCAGAUUUUUUAUGAUUACAAUACUGAAAAUGAUUAACAAUUAUCUAUCACAAUUAUACAUAUUAUAUUUUUUAUUGCAUACUUAUUAUUAUUAUUAUUAUAUAAGUAAUAACAGAUGCUUUAAUUGCCAAUAAUGAAUAUGAAAUUACUUAAAAUAUUUUAUACACAUUUUUUUAUUGAAUUUAAAUGUAUUUUGGUUUUCUUAUUUUCACAAUUUUGAUAUUUUCAUUUUAAAGUAGAGACAUUUGUUUACUCUAUUUAAAAAAAAAUCUAUCAUUUUAAUGCUCAUGUUUGAAAAUAGAGACAUUUUGUUCUAUUUUAAAAAACUCACAAUUUUGGUCAACAUAUUUUAACAAAUUUAUGUUUUAUUUUUUACAUUAUAAUUAAUUAAAUUAUUUUUUAUAACAUCUUAAAUGAAUGUGUUACCUUUAUAGUUCAAUUAGUUCAAUUGUAUUAAAAUAAAAUAAAUAAUUGUAGGUAAAAUUGAAGAUUUGACUAAAAUUAUAAUUUUUUUAAAAUAAAAGAAUUAAAUAUCUUUAUUUUAAAAUAAAUAAUUAAAAUCACAUUUUUUUUUAAAUAUAUACAGCAAAUAUCUCUAAUUUAAAAUGAAAAAACUAGAAUUAUGGAUUGAAAGGAAGACUAAAAUUGUAUUUAAGAAUUUUGAAUAAAUAUUUGUCAAUUUUGAACGAUAACCUUCUUUGCUAAUUAAAGAAGUUGAUAUUUAAAUUAAGUAAAAAAAUUGAUAUCAAUAGAAGAAACUUUAAUAUUUAAAAACAAAUAGAAAUAUCUUCUAUUUGCAUAAUAAAUUAACAAAAUUUAAAUUUGAUUUAAUUGAUUUAUAGGCUAAAAUACAUAAUUUUAUUUUUUAUGAAGAAAUAGAUAAUUCUAUAAAAUAAAAAUAUUCCACAUGAAAUACAAAGGAGCAAAGCAAGUUGCAGGUGAUUGUAGAGGAGUUAAGAAGCUCAAUAAAAAGUUUAAGACCUGAUCUCCCUUUUUGGUGCGUUGCCAUGUUCAGCAAAUUUUGGAAUACAUUACUUAUGUAAAUAAGUCAAUUUUUUGUAUAAGUUGGAAUACAAUAAGGAUGGCGAAAACAUUUUGCACAUGACGCAUUACGAGAGUUAAACUAAAAUAUUCAUUACUUAUCACAAAAGAAUAAUAUUACUUCAAAUUACAUUUUCCACAGUAAUAUUCUUUCUCUAGUUCUAACGCAUCUAACAAUCCUAUCUUCUUCUCUUAUGUUUUUUUUUAAAAAAAAUGCAUAAAAAAAAAAUACGCCCAAAUAACAUAACUCUUAAAAAAAAUAUCACCAUCCCUUCCUGGCGGCACCAAAAAUAAACACAUCCCAUGUAAGUCAUUUGGUUUGCAAAGCAUCACAGCUUGCAAUAAGGCAUGCAAAGCAUCACAGCUUGCAAUAUAAGCAACCCUUAGGCUUUAGCAUGAAAUAUUACCCUCGGGCAACUAAUAAGAUGCAAAGUUCACUUGAAAAAGGAUUAUAACUCUCAUUUCUAGCAAAACAGAAAAUAAUCCAAUCUAGCUUCUUCCAUAAAUCAUGUCUCAAUUAAGCAAAACAUAUUUCUCAAACAAAAUCUUGAAAUAAACUAAUUGAACCAAAGCAAAAAUAUGAAAGCUCGUCCAUCAAUACACAGGUCCAUCUAGUGAAUCUGGAAAAGAGUAAAUAAAUAAGACUUAUUUCUUCUUGUCUCCAGCACCACCAGCCCUGCACAAAAAUGAAAACAGCAUCAUAAGUAAUAGCAACCACUACCAAGAAACUACCAUUCAAGAAUGCCAAUCACGUUUAUAUAUUACAUUGUAUGCAUAAUAUGAACAAAAGAACAUAGAACAACCUCAUCUUCCUGAGAACACUGGACAUUUCCUCACGCUUCUUCUUUGCACGUUUGUGGGUUCCAAGCUUUCUCUUUGCAACCUUCAGUGCCCUCUUAUCCUUCCCAACCUUCAGCAACUCAGUUAUACGCUUUUCAUAGGGUGCAAAACCAGCAACCUCUCUUAUGAGGUUCCUCACAAAGUGCACCCUCUUGCUUGUUUUCUGUUUUGAAUCAAUAUAAUAUUAUGACCACAUAUAAGAUAUAAAAACAAAGUUUCUGAUGCCUUUCUUAAUUAUUUCUAUAGUGGAUGAGGAUGAAUUACCCAUCUAGUUUUUCCUCCCAUUCUUUCAUCUUAUCCAUCACACGGCAUGAUUUAAAACAUUUUAACAUAGAUCCAUUAGAAGCUUCCAACGUUUAAUCUUAAUAGUCAUUUUAAAGGUCAACGCAUUUAUAAAAGAAAGAGGAUAUAGGUCUCCAAAGAUUGGGAUCAGUUUGGAAGAAAAAACGACGAAAAUAUGGGUUCAAAAUUUGAGUGCUUACUGGCAAACAACACCUGAAGUAAGAACUGAAAGUAAAAAAAAGAAGAUCAAAUCUUUGCUGCUGUAUCACAGUUUUUUUCUAAUGUAUAGACAAAGUAAUUGUAGUGAAAAAGGGGGACUUGGACUCAUAAGAAAGUAACUAAACUUAAUCAGAAACUUGAUAUAUACAAUAGAAGGGACAGAAAGUUGUAAAACCCAAAUAGCCUCUUUGUUAAAUAAAUGCCUCUGUCAUCAUUCUAAUUAGAAAGACAACCACGUAUUCUAAAAAGACAGACAAUGCAUUGGAUGACACUUUGAUUCCAACACCACCACUUACAAUCUAAAAAAAGGUGCAAACAUAUAACUGAAUCACAUUUGAAAAAAAGA
rnacentral:lncRNA from 1 species